GAUGAACGCUGGCGGCGUGCCUAAUACAUGCAAGUCGAACGCUUCACAUAUGUGAAGAGUGGCGAACGGGUGAGUAAUACAUAAGUAACCUGGCCUUUACAGGGGGAUAACUAUUGGAAACGAUAGCUAAGACCGCAUAGGUGUGAUAACCGCAUGGAGAUGACAUGAAAUAUGCUACGGCAUAGGUAGAGGAUGGACUUAUGGCGCAUUAGCUAGUUGGAGGGGUAACGGCCCACCAAGGCGACGAUGCGUAGCCGACCUGAGAGGGUGACCGGCCACACUGGGACUGAGACACGGCCCAGACUCCUACGGGAGGCAGCAGUAGGGAAUUUUCGGCAAUGGGGGAAACCCUGACCGAGCAACGCCGCGUGAAGGAAGAAGUAAUUCGUUAUGUAAACUUCUGUCAUAGAGGAAGAACGGUGCGUGUAGGGAAUGACAUGCAAGUGACGGUACUCUAUAAGAAAGCCACG
rnacentral:rRNA from 1 species